AGAGUUUGAUCAUGGCUCAGAUUGAACGCUGGCGGCAUGCCUUACACAUGCAAGUCGAGCGGCAGCGCGGGGGCAACCCUGGCGGCGAGCGGCGCACGGGUGAGUAAUGCAUCGGAACGUGUCCUCCUGUGGGGGAUAACCAGUCGAAAGACUGGCUAAUACCGCAUGAGCACGAGAGUGGAAAGCGGGGGACCGUAAGGCCUCGCGCGAGAGGAGCGGCCGAUGCCGGAUUAGCUAGUUGGUGGGGUAACGGCCCACCAAGGCGACGAUCCGUAGCUGGUUUGAGAGAACGACCAGCCACACUGGGACUGAGACACGGCCCAGACUCCUACGGGAGGCAGCAGUGGGGAAUUUUGGACAAUGGGGGCAACCCUGAUCCAGCCAUGCCGCGUGAGUGAAGAAGGCCUUCGGGUUGUAAAGCUCUUUCGGCCGGAACGAAAUCGCGCGCAUGAAUAAUGCGCGUGGAUGACGGUACCGGAAGAAGAAGCACCGGCUAACUACGUGCCAGCAGCCGCGGUAAUACGUAGGGUGCGAGCGUUAAUCGGAAUUACUGGGCGUAAAGUGUGCGCAGGCCGCCGAGCAAGUCGAGUGUGAAAGCCCCGAGCUUAACUUGGGAACUGCGCUCGAAACUACUUGGCUAGAGUGUGGCAGAGAGAGGUGGAAUUCCACGUGUAGCGGUGAAAUGCGUAGAGAUGUGGAGGAACACCGAUGGCGAAGGCAGCCUCCUGGGCCAACACUGACGCUCAUGCACGAAAGCGUGGGGAGCAAACAGGAUUAGAUACCCUAGUAGUCC
rnacentral:rRNA from 1 species